UAAGUAGAUAGUGAAAUCGUGUGGCUCAACCAUACAGACAUUAUCUAAACUGCUCAGCUAGAGGACAAGAGAGGUACUUGGAAUUCCCAGUGUAGGAGUGAAAUCCGUAGAUAUUGGGAGGAACACCGAUGGCGUAGGCAGAGUACUGGCUUGUUCCUGACACUCAGGCACGAAAGCGUGGGAGCGAACUGGAUUAGAUACCCAGGUAGUCCACGCCGUAAACGAUGGAUGCUA
rnacentral:rRNA from 1 species